rnacentral:rRNA from 1 species
UACGGGGGGGGGCAAGCGUUGUUCGGAAUUACUGGGCGUAAAGGGCUCGUAGGCGGCCAACUAAGUCGGAUGUGAAAUCCCCAGGCUUAACCUGGGAACUGCAUCCGAUACUGGAUGGCUUGGAUCCGGGAGAGGGAUGCAGAAUUCCUGGUGUAGCGGUGAAAUGCGCAGAUAUCAGGAGGAACACCGGUGGCGAAGGCGGAUCUCUGGGCCUUGCCUGACGCUGAGGCGCGAAAGCUAGGGGAGCGAACAGG